GACGAACGCUGGCGGCGUGCUUAACACAUGCAAGUCGAACGGUAGGGCCCUUCGGGGUACACGAGUGGCGAACGGGUGAGUAACACGUGGGUGAUCUGCCCUGCACUUCGGGAUAAGCCUGGGAAACUGGGUCUAAUACCGGAUAGGACCACUGCCUGCAUGGGUGGUGGUGGAAAGCUUUUGCGGUGUGGGAUGGGCCCGCGGCCUAUCAGCUUGUUGGUGGGGUGAUGACCUACCAAGGCGACGACGGGUAGCCGGCCUGAGAGGGGGACCGGACACACUGGGACUGAGAUACGGCCCAGACUCCUACGGGAGGCAGAGGUGGGGAAUAUUGCACAAUGGGCGCAAGCCUGGGGCAGCGACGCCGCGUGAGGGAUGACGGUCUUCGGGUUGUAAACCUCUUUCAGCACCGACGAAGCGCAAGUGACGGUGGGUGCAGAAGAAGGACCGGCCAACUACGUGCCAGCCGCCGCCGUAAAAC
rnacentral:rRNA from 1 species